rnacentral:rRNA from 1 species
UACGUAGGGAGCAAGCGUUGUCCGGAAUCAUUGGGCGUAAAGCGCGCGUAGGCGGCCCUGUAAGUCCGUUGUGAAAGUCAAAGGCUCAACCUUUGAAAGCCGAUGGAUACUGCAGGGCUAGAGUCCGGAAGAGGCGAGUGGAAUUCCUGGUGUAGCGGUGGAAUGCGCAGAUAUCAGGAGGAACACCAAUGGCGAAGGCAGCUCGCUGGGACGGUACUGACGCUAAGGCGCGAAAGCGUGGGGAGCGAACAGG